rnacentral:precursor_RNA from 1 species
UGACGGGAACUCCUUACCAUUCAGAUUUUAGAAAAUGACUAGGUUGGGAGUUCCUGUUGU